rnacentral:rRNA from 1 species
UUGCCCAAUCCCGACACGGGGAGGCAGUGACAAGAAAUAACAACUCUUGGAUUUCUAAGAAGUGUAAUGAGGAUAAUUUACAACCCUUACCGAAAGCAAUUGGAGGGCAAGUCUGGUGCCAGCAGCCGCGGUAAUUCCAGCUCCAAUAGCGUAUAUUAAAGUUGUUGCAGUUAAAAAGCUCGUAGUUGAAGUUCUGAUUGUUCGGGCCUCGCGCUUUAUAGCCGAGGAACCGACAGUCAUCCGCUUGCAAAUAUAUGUUCGCCUUUAACCGGGUGGCUAUAUGAGUAAGCAAUUUACCUUGAGAAAAACAGAGUGUUCCAGGCAGGUUUGUCCGGAAUGCAUUAGCAUGGAAUAAUAGAAUAUGACUGAAGUCGAUUUAUUGGUUUAAGGCUUUAGUAAUGAUUAAUAGGAACAGUCGGGGGCAUUGGUACUUGACAGUCAGAGGUGAAAUUCUAGGAUUUUGUCAAAGACUAACAAAUGCGAAAGCAUUUGCCAAGGAUGUUUUCAUUAAUCAAGAACGAAAGUUAGGG